GCGCAGGGGCCCUGCCCCUGCCUCCGCCUCCUCUCUGCCUGUCUCCUCUACCACCCACCUCCCCCCGCGCCCCGCCCUCUCUCUCAGGCUCCCAGGCCACCUCCUCCCGGUCCGUGCCACACGGGCAGUUCCCAGACCACUGCGGGACUGUGCAGCAGGGGGGCCUCUCGAGCGCCCCGGCUGCCCCCACCCUGGUCCUAGCCAGCCCCGGGCCUCCUUGCUCUCGCCAAGCCCUCUUGGGGGCUCAUCAGCGAGAAAGGGAGGGGGAGGAGAGAAGAGGGGGAUGGAUCCCUGACUCAGAAGGGGUGACUCAGCCUCAGUGGGCCUCCCAUCCCACCGGAGCCGGAUCCCCUCACCACCCCUGCAGCACAGCGACAGGGCAGAACCUGCCUAGGACUCGGCGUCCUCCCCCACCGGGAGGAGGUAUUACAACUGUCUCCUGGGAAUCCUCUGUGCCUCUGAGUGUGUCUAGAGGGUGUCUAUGUGUACAUUUGUCCACAUGUGCCUUGGUGACAAUGACAGUAAGUGUAACAGUGAGAGCCCAGGGACCUAUUGGGGAUGGGGCCUGUGUACAGGCGCACUUGCUGUAUGUGUCUGAGCACAGGCUGAGUGUGCACCUGAGCUCCAGGAAAGGGCAGGGGCUGGCCAAGCAGCUUGUGGCAGAGAUCAUGGCUCAAAACCAAGGUAAGCCAUGCUCCUCCCCUCCAGGAGCACUGUUACCCACUAAAAAAACCAGUCCAACCACUGCAGCACCUCCAUCUCACACAAUCCGAAGGUGGGGACCUCAAGCCACAGAGGACUCUGGGAGGGAGAGGGCCUGGGUUCCAGUCCAGGUCUGCCACUGGCUCAGCAAGUACCCUUGGGCAAGUUGUUCCAUGCUCUGGGCCUCAUUUGCAAAUGACGAAAGGGCUGGACGUUCCUAUCUCUAGGGUCCCUAGUUCAUGGCGAAGGCAUAAAGAGAAUGGUGGGUAACCGCAGCAUGAUCUCCAAAGAUUUCUGUCCAUGGGUCCACUGCAACCCAUAUGACCGCGAACCCCCAGUCACCACCCUCACCUCCAGGCAUACACAACUAUUCAUUCAUUCUUCACAUCAUUCCUAAGUACCUACCAUGUGCUGGCCAUAGUUCUUACCACAGAAUCCACUGCCCUGGGAAGCACAGAGGCCCCAAGCUGGGAAGCAGCCUCGAUGUGAGCUGAGCCCUCCAUCCUUCCCUGCUGCGAUUCCCUCAGUAUCAGCCUCACCAGUGGGCUCUCCAUCUCUGCUUGUCACACACUAUAGAGCCAGGCACCUCCCUCCCCCAACUCCUCCCUCCCAGUGUGCUGCUCCAUCAUGGUGAUCUUCUACCCUGGGUCCUCAUAUGCACUCUAGGGCCUCCAAAGAAUGAGGCUAUGCCCUCUCCUCAGCACCCUUUAGAGAACUCAAGAUACAAUUGCGUCCCUUUGUACCAUGCCCAAAGCAAGCCUUCUCUUCUCCAACUUAAACCUCCUUCAUCAGGUGUCUUUAGACAAAGCUUCCGGUGCCUUCACUCCCCCUGCUCACCAGGUUCAGCAGCGGAUGAAGAGCAGAGAGCAGAAUGAAGCCAGCUUCUCCCAGUCCUAGAGAACAGGCCCACCCUCCAGACAGAAGAUGCACAGCUGCUAAGAGAUUCUUGACUGCCUGCCUUCAAGUAUUUUGAUUCCAAAUAGGCUCAGUCUCCCCUGCUGGCUGAGCCUUUCCAAUCGUGGGCUCCCGUGGGCAGGAGGCUCUGGGCUGCAUGGCCAAGGCUCUCUCUGUUCCUCUUAGUUCAACUCUCCUUCCCUGGCCGUCUCCCUUUCCUUCCUUCCCCCAGGCUGAAGCCCUCCCCACUCCUCCCCUGGGGCAGGGCCACUUUCCCACCCUCCUCAACCAGAUGGAGCCUCUCACUUUCCCAGGAGAAUCCAGGCUACACUCCAAAGACCGAGGCAGGAUGUUCCCAGACAUCGUUCUGCA
rnacentral:lncRNA from 1 species